rnacentral:rRNA from 1 species
GAUGAACGCUGGCGGCGUGCCUAAUACAUGCAAGUCGAGCGAACAGACGAGGAGCUUGCUCCUCUGACGUUAGCGGCGGACGGGUGAGUAACACGUGGAUAACCUACCUAUAAGACUGGGAUAACUUCGGGAAACCGGAGCUAAUACCGGAUAAUAUAUUGAACCGCAUGGUUCAAUAGUGAAAGACGGUUUUGCUGUCACUUAUAGAUGGAUCCGCGCCGCAUUAGCUAGUUGGUAAGGUAACGGCUUACCAAGGCAACGAUGCGUAGCCGACCUGAGAGGGUGAUCGGCCACACUGGAACUGAGACACGGACCAGACUCCUACGGGAGGCAGCAGUAGGGAAUCUUCCGCAAUGGGCGAAAGCCUGACGGAGCAACGCCGCGUGAGUGAUGAAGGUCUUCGGAUCGUAAAACUCUGUCAUUAGGGAAGAACAAAUGUGUAAGUAACUAUGCACGUCUUGACGGUACCUAAUCAGAAAGCCACGGCUAACUACGUG